UGGCCCGUUGGUCAAGCGGUUAAGACACCGCCCUUUCACGGCGGUAACACGGGUUCGAAUCCCGUACGGGUCAUUGA
rnacentral:tRNA from 1 species